CACGCUGUAAACGAUGGAUACUGGAUGUGGGGAGAAUCGACUCUCUCCGUAUCGAAGCAAACGCGAUAAGUAUCCCGCCUGAGUAGUACGGCCGCAAGGUUGAAACUUAAAGGAAUUGACGGGGACCCGCACAAGCAGCGGAGCGCGUCGUUUAAUUCGACGCAACACGAAGAACCUUACCAAGGCUUGACAUUAAAGUGAACGUCUGUGGAAACACAGGGGGUGGUGUGGUAGUAAUACCAUACCCACUUCAACAGAUGG
rnacentral:rRNA from 1 species